UUAGGUUAAGAGCAUACAAGUGCAGAUGCUUGGUUCCUGGAGCAGCAAUAGGAAAGUGAGAGGCUCCAGCCAGCACCGGGCUAAGGAGACAGUUCUUCUCCCAGCUCCCCUACCCACUAGGAAAGAAAAACAGUUCAGGACCAUGAGAGAGCGCCGCUGUAAGUACCUUUCCGUUUCUUCCGAAUCGCGAAGAGGCGGUGCUGAUCCCAGGGAGGUGGUGGGCGAAGGGCUGUGCUGGCGGAGUGGGCGGGUGGAAGGGACGCCCUCCCUCCCCAGGCCUGGCCAAGCGAGGAGAGCUAGAUUUGGGAGGUGGAGGUGCUAAACUGAGCUCCUGGAAAGCUUUUCUGGGGCCUAGUUCGCAGUCACCUGCCUAAGGGAACAGGCCGCAGGGUCUCACCCUUGUCUCCCUGGGCCUCUCUGGACCUUUCCAGCCUUUCCCUGGCUCAGCACAGGUGCAGCUCCGUCACAGCGCUGGCUUGGGUUAAGAGCUUGCGGCUAAUUAGCAGCCUGCCUUAUUAACGAGUUCUGGCCAGCAUCCGCCUCCCGCGCGAACCAACGCAACAAACCCAAGGCGAUGCGAUCCCCCUCCGCAGUCCAGCCUAGUUUAUCCCGGUCAAGCCUGUCCCAACCUUGGGUUUUUACAAAAAAUUUACUACAAACAAAACUUAAUCCUCUAUGGCCGCGGGUGUGUUGAGUUGGCCCGCUUCCGGGGAAGGCUCCUAAUUCUGAGCUUUACGUGGACAUUCCUCUCACCGCCCCUCCCCGGACCCAGCGCUAGCGGUGUGGGCCCUGGGUUUGGGACACCGGCUGAGCGAGGAGGGAUAUUCUCUCUCGUUCCCCUCUGCUUCUCUGUAACUGCAGUUCCAGAAUUUCCGCUCCAGAGUCGCUGGUGCUGCAAGGAAACAUAGCGGGGUCGAGUGGGGCCAGAGACUCUUGGGGUCCUUAGCUGGGAUAUUUGGAUCUUUCUGAGUUGCCUGUGGCGCGAAAGACAGGUACAUUUCAGAGGAGGCCUGUGAAGUCUGCAGGAGAAACACGUCAUUAAGAUGAUGAUAUUCGCAGGAGAGUCACGGGAAAAAGGUGGCCCCUCCCUCACUGCAAAACGGAGGUGAUUUUAUUUUAACGGGAGAGGGAAUAUGCGAGGACUGCAGGAAACAGGCACCCUCCCUGGCUUGUGAGACACCCUAUCUUCUGGUUGGAAUAGCUGGGACUGGGCUCCCGGCCAGUUUUUUUGGCCCCAUAGGCUGCGCAGUCUAGUUGACCCCCUAGGGGCUGUGCUCACCCCCAGAAGAGGAGAUCCGCCCAGCACGUUCGCUUCUAUGAAUCAGGCCGGCUCAAGUGAAACCGGCUCUGGGCUCCAGGCUGGAAACUCUGGUCUCCCCAAGGCCCCCUCGUCUUUUCCCCCUCCUUCGGCUGACCUGGCUUUGGGUGCUUAUCUCUGCGGAGGCUACUCUCUUGCAAACCCGCAUUCAGCACCCUGUAGCUGAACACAACACAAAAAGCCUGAGAGAUCAAAAGCAUUAGUAUGGGCAGUUGAGCGGGAGGUGAAUAUUUAACGCUUUUGUUCAUCAAUAACUCGUUGGCUUUGACCUGUCUGAACAAGUCGAGCAAUAAGGUGAAAUGCAGGUCACAGUGUCUAACAAAUAUGAAAAUGUGUACAUUCACCCGGGUCCCCACGCGGCUCAGCAGGCUCCCCCAAUUUGUCUGGAUAAAGCUUAGGCCCAGUGUCCCCAGGAAGGCAAAUACGUGGGAACGCUUGGCAUUAGGGGACAUUGAGGUGAUUCUCCUGAGGCAAACAGAUUCGGCAGCUUCAGAGCCCUUGUUAGAAUUGGCGCCCAGGAAAUACCUGCAAAAUAACUAAAGUGGUGGAACCAAAGGAUGUGGGAAGUGUGCAAAGUGCCAGGCUUAGAAGGGAGUUUCUCUGCCCCAACCCACCAAGCCCAGGCCUGAGGCUUAAAACUAAUUUUUGAAUUAUGGAGUGGGGAGGGAAGGGGAAUCAAAACAACCCCUCCCCAAAAUUUAACACCUUCAGCCUAUGGUCAGACAUCCAGAGCCCCAUUUGAGCCAGGGCAUCCCUUUGCCCCUGAAAUCCGUUCUGGCUCUGAGUGCCUCUAAGCACUUGGUGCCCUGAACUGAAGGACAAGCCUUGGACAGGGCUGAGGCACUGGGGCGGGUGAAAUUCGUGAACUUUUGUACUCUUGUGUGCUGCUGUCGGCAAAGUAAAAAUAAUGAAACUUUG